CACGUAAAGACUACCAUACAGCAGGUAAACGCAGAGUGGUUAUCCCCAUCCUGCUACCACGUAAAGACUACCAUACAGCAGGUAAACGCAGAGUGGUUAUCCCCAUCCUGCUACCACGUAAAGACUACCAUACAGCAGGUAAACGCAGAGUGGUUAUCCCCAUCCUGCUACCACGUAAAGACUACCAUACAGCAGGUAAACGCAGAGUGGUUAUCCCCAUCCUGCUACCACGUAAAGACUACCAUACAGCAGGUAAACGCAGAGUGGUUAUCCCCAUCCUGCUACCACGUAAAGACUACCAUACAGCAGGUAAACGCAGAGUGGUUAUCCCCAUCCUGCUACCACGUAAAGACUACCAUACAGCAGGUAAACGCAGAGUGGUUAUCCCCAUCCUGCUACCACGUAAAGACUACCAUACAGCAGGUAAACGCAGAGUGGUUAUCCCCAUCCUGCUACCACGUAAAGACUACCAUACAGCAGGUAAACGCAGAGUGGUUAUCCCCAUCCUGCUACCACGUAAAGACUACCAUACAGCAGGUAAACGCAGAGUGGUUAUCCCCAUCCUGCUACCGCGUAAAGACUACCAUACAGCAGGUAAACGCAGAGUGGUUAUCCCGAUCCUGCUACCACGUAUAGA